UACAGAGGUCUCGAGCGUUGUUCGGAUUCAUUGGGCGUAAAGGGCGCGUAGGCGGCGGGGUAAGUCUGGUGUGAAAUCUCGGAGCUCAACUCCGAAAUUGCACUGGAUACUGCUCUGCUAGAGGGCUGGAGAGGAGAUCGGAAUUCACGGUGUAGCAGUGAAAUGCGUAGAUAUCGUGAGGAAGACCAGUGGCGAAGGCGGAUCUCUGGACAGGCUCCUGGACGCUGAGGCGCGAAGGCUAGGGGAGCAAACGGG
rnacentral:rRNA from 1 species